rfam:Daucus carota subsp. sativus cultivar DH1 chromosome 1, whole genome shotgun sequence.
AUCCCAUGAUGUAGACACUUCCUUAGCAUCUCCUUAUACCGCUCCCAUGCCUCACCAGAAGUUUCUCCCGUUUGUUGAGAGAAUUGAGAGAGAGCAUUCCUCAGUGC